GGAAAUCUCACCAGGCCCAGACACUGGAAGGAUUGACAGAUUGAUAGCUCUUUCUUGAUUCGGUGGGUGGUGGUGCAUGGCCGUUCUUAGUUGGUUGAGUGAUUUGUCUUGUUAAUUCCGAUAACGAACGAGACCUUAACCUGCUAAAUAGUGACGCGGUUCAUCGAACCGUGGGCCACUUCUUAGAGGGACUAUCGGAUUCAAACCGAUGGAAGUGUGAGGCAAUAA
rnacentral:rRNA from 1 species